AGGUGAGUGAGUUUCGCAAGGUAUGCUACCCUUCCUUUUUUGGCGGUUUUACCUCGUAGUAACUUUCCAGAAAAACGAAAGGGUUAUGAUGAGAGAUUAUGUCAUACCCUGGCACAUGCUUUGUCCAAUGGACCAUGGAAGGGACUUUACUUGGCUGACGAGGACGCACCUCACCAGUAUCAGAGCAACAGCUGUGGGGUGUUUAUGCUGAUGUACGCAAUGUAUUCUACCCUCAAAAGCAAUAUGAUUUCAGUGAGGGGGACAUGCUCUCUAUCAGGAGGUGGUGGUUGGACAGCUGUUGGAGACCUUUAUGCUUGAAAGGUUUAUAUACUGUGUCCAUGUUGCUAUUUACUUAUUUUUGGUGCUCACGAAGAUCGUAGCCAAUACACUUGUCUCUCUGUCUCUAGCCCUGCAGAACUAGCUGGCUCCUUCUCACCCUCUCCAUCUCCCCAUCUCAGUCACACCUUCCAAUCACUAAGCAGUGAAAGCCCUGCAGGACUAGCUGGCACACCAAGCUCACCCUCCAUCUCCCCAUCUCAGCCACACGCUCCAAUCUGGCACAACAGAGGACAGGCCAUUCUUACCACCCGAAGUCCUUCAGCAAAUUGUACAAGAGACGCUGAGACUGGACAUGGCGAUGCUUGGCGUGUUCAACAGGGUUUCAAACACAUUCCGAGAACUAAUCAAGCCUCUCCAUCCUUCCAUAUAUAUAAACGACAGUUUGGCAGGGGACAUUAAGCUUAAUAAAGACAAUCUCAUAUACAUAACGGUUAGAAAGAUUUACAACAAUGCAGGCUGUGGCAGUGGCCUUGCGCUACGCCUCAAAGGCUUCUCAAAAAAAGAAGAAUUGGCCAAGCGCACCCCUGGUACUGAGGAACGUUGCAUAUGGCAGGUUUGUCAUAAAAGAUGUCUGCCUAGCAUAAUGUUCUUUUAUUACUCCUUUUUUGUUUUAUUUGGGACGUCUUUUUUUGCAAUCCCUUCCAUUUGUAAAUGUACAUACUACUGUAGUAAAUGUAUCUGCCCAGAAAUGCUGGUAUUUUAUUACUCCUUUC